UAAAUAUAUACAUAUAUAUAUAUAUAUAUAUAUAUAACAAUCUGUAAAGGUUUUCAAGGGAAGUGUGUCUGCAAAUGCAGAGUGUGAUAAGAAAAAGAUUAUUUUAAGAAGGCCUCUGGCCUUGGGCUGGAGCUAAACAGAGAUGUUUACAUUUCGAAGAUUAGAGAAGAUGUUACUAAUUGGGCUCCAUGGUAACAGCUGGCAGGGAGAGGGAAGAAAGGGGAGAAGAAGCUCUCCCCUUCACAGGCACUGUCCUUGAAGGGUUAACUUGCCCAGAACAUUGAAAGAAAAAGCUGCUUUUGUGUGAACUUCUGCAGACUGAACUUCUGAGCCCCUCCCCUUCCAAGAUGGGUAUAAAGUUCUGAAACUGCCUGAACUUGGGGUUCAGGGGGAUUGAUUGAUUACAGCAGAAAGCUUUGCCCUCUGAACCUUUCUGCAGCCAAAUAAACCAGCUUCCUAUUUCCUAUCCGGGGUCCUGCUUCAUCUGUCCCCUACAACAUUACUGGCACAGUGGCACAGCUUUUGAUCUCAGUUACUCUAGAGGCUGAGGUAGAUGGAUUGCAAGUUCAAAGUCAACCUCAACAACUUAUCGAGAUCCUGCCUAAAAAUAAAAAGGGCCAGGAAUGUAGCUCAGUGGUAUAGUACUCCUGGGCUCAAUCCCCAGUAUAGGGGAGGGUGGAAAAGCCCAAUUUCUUAGAAAAAGAUGGAGAAGCUGUUACCAAGAAAGACAACAUACUGAAGUUGGAAUUAAUUCAGGCUUCUGUUUUCUUCAAGGUUACAGUCCUUGCACAUAAUGGUCUUUAUGUAAUGGUAACAUUAUCCUUCCCAUAUCAGAAUAUUUCCAGUCAUUUGCCUCUCUGACCCAAUAUUCUUGGUUUCUUAGGUACAUUCAGGAGGGCUGGGUCUGAAUAAGGUGAAUCAAUCAGUCAGUUUCCAUAAGUCAUCUUGCAUUUAUAGUUGGACACCAGGAGUGAAGGGUAGCUACAAACAGUGGGGGAACACAGGAAAUUUGCUUUGGAACUCUAGAUCAAGUACAUGGAGUAUGUCAAAUCUGUAAACAGGCCAGGCAGAAUGCACUGCACUUUUGUACUGCCAGUGUGCUGGACAUGAGAAUGCAUCUCUCAGGUUACUGAGUGUUAUCCAAGCAGGGGUCCAAAUGCUGCUUAGAAGUGAAUUUCCUGAAUUUGCACCCAGGCCAAGGCCACAGCUCCCAAGGGCUGGUUCCUGCCUCCAACUGAGGUUAGCAGAGAUAAGCAUGCAAACCCUUUUCAGGGGAGAUGGGACUCCUUGGUUAGCUGACAAAAAGACUUGUGAGUGGACCAAGACCUUAUCCCAAAGGGUUUUGCUGAACCUUACACUUCAAGGUGGACUUCCUGGACAUUUCACCCUGUUCUCUCUUCCUCUUUCCUUCAUGGGGUCAGACUUGCAUCAAGGUCAAAUGGUUCUAGCUUUGUAUUUUCCUUUACAUAUAAACAUUUCCCCCUAAUAAAAUCCUUGCACAUUUAAUUUUAUCUGAGCAAAUGCUUUCC
rnacentral:lncRNA from 1 species